rnacentral:rRNA from 1 species
GGGGAAUAUUGCGCAAUGGGGGGAACCCUGACGCAGCCAUGCCGCGUGAAUGAAGAAGGCCUUAGGGUUGUAAAGUUCUUUCGGUAUUGAGGAAGGUUGAUGUGUUAAUAGCACAUCAAAUUGACGUUAAAUACAGAAGAAGCACCGGCUAACUCCGUGCCAGCAGCCGCGGUAAUACGGAGGGUGCGAGCGUUAAUCGGAAUAACUGGGCGUAAAGGGCACGCAGGCGGUUAUUUAAGUGAGGUGUGAAAGCCCCGGGCUUAACCUGGGAAUUGCAUUUCAGACUGGGUAACUAGAGUACUUUAGGGAGGGGUAGAAUUCCACGUGUGGCGGUGAAAUGCGUAGAGAUGUGGAGGAAUACCGACGGCGAAGGCAGCCCCUUGGGAAUGUACUGACGCUCAUGUGCGAAAGCGUGGGGAGCAAACAGGAUUAGAUACCCUGGUAGUCCACGCUGUAAACGCUGUCGAUUUGGGGGUUGGGGUUUAACUCUGGCGCCCGUAGCUAACGUGAUAAAUCGACCGCCUGGGGAGUACGGCCGCAAGGUUA